UGUAGAAGUCUCCUUCAGAAGAAUAUGGCAAAGAAAAGGAAGUGAGGAAGAACUGUUAAGUUCCUAAAAAUUGAACAUGUUACUUCAGGAAGAGCAGCUGGAACAAUGUGGGAUGUCCUUUUUAUACUGAAGGGGCGGAACCAAAUGUAAGAUUGCCCGUGCGCAAUGCUCAUUUCUGUUUUGAAGUUGCCGGAGAAGGAUCCUGUAGCCGCAGCUUCCUCAUAGUGGUCUCUCUCAGGCAUGCAGGCCUCUGGCUCAAUCCUGGGGGUCCAGCGGUGAGUCGAAGGCUGUCCUCUCACCACGCUGCUAUCCGGAUGAAGAUCCCGGGCCCUUGGAUACGUCUGUGGUGUUGGUUACUUCAGGAAGAGCAGCUGGAACAAUGUGGGAUGUUCUUUUUAUACUGAAGGGGCGGAACUAAAGGU